rnacentral:rRNA from 1 species
GACGGAGGGGGCUAGCGUUGUUCGGAAUUACUGGGCGUAAAGGGCGCGUAGGCGGCAAGCUAAGUUAGGCGUGAAAUCCCUGGGCUUAACCCAGGAACUGCGUUUAAUACUGGCUAGCUAGAGAUCGGUAGAGGAAAGUGGAAUUCCUAGUGUAGAGGUGAAAUUCGUAGAUAUUAGGAAGAACACCAGAGGCGAAGGCGACUUUCUGGGCCGAUACUGACGCUGAGGCGCGAAAGCGUGGGGAGCAAACAGG